rnacentral:lncRNA from 1 species
GGUGGCAAAAAAAGCUCAACCAGGAGACAUUUUUGCCUUCUUGGAAGGUAAUGCUCCUAUAUAGAGCAACGGGACUCAUCUCUAAGGAGCCCGAAGUCAGGCGCCCACUUGUCUUCUCGCAGGAUUGCCAUAGACUUUUUCUGUGUGCCCACCAUUCCAGACUGAAGUAGAGAUGGCAGUGGCAGAGACUGGGAAGGCUGCAACGAAAACAGGAAGUUAUUGCACCCUGGGAAUAGUCUGGAAAUGAAGCUUCAAAACUUGCUUCAUGUUCAGUUGUACACAGACUCACUCCCAGGUUGACUCACACGUGUAAAUAUUCCUGACUAUGUCUGCACUGCUUUUAUCUGAUGCUUCCUUCCCAAAAUGCCAAGUGUACAAGGUGAGGGAAUCACCCUUGGAUUCAGAGCCCAGGGUCGUCCUCCUUAACCUGGACUUGUCUUUCUCCGGCAGCCUCUGACACCCCUCCCCCCAUUUUCUCUAUCAGAAGGUCUGAGCAGAGUUGGGGCACGCUCAUGUCCUGAUACACUCCUUGUCUUCCUGAAGAUCUAACUUCUGACCCAGAAAGAUGGCUAAGGUGGUGAAGUGUUUGACAUGAAGACUUGGUCUUAAGAACUGGAGCAGGGGAAAAAAGUCGGAUGUGGCAGCAUGUACCCGAAAUCCCAGAACUGGGGAGGUAGAGAUGGAUGAGUGCCCGGGGCUAGCUGGCUGCUCAGCCAGCCUAGCUGAAUUGCCAAAUUCCAACUCCUAUUGAAAAACCUUUACCAAACAAACAAACAAACAAAUAAUAACAACAACAACAACAACAAACUACCCCAUACAAGGUGGGCGGCUCUUGGCUCUUGAGGAAUGACUCACCCAAACCCAAAGCUUGCCACAGCUGUUCUCUGGCCUAAAUGGGGUGGGGGGGGCAGAGACAGAGACAGAGAGAGACAUGACUUCCUGGGCUGGGCUGUGUGCUCUAGGCCACCAGGAACUUUCCUGUCUUGCUCUCUGUCUGGCACAGCCAGAGCACCAGCACCCAGCAGGUGCACACACCUCCCUCCGUGCUUCUUGAGCAAACACAGG